rnacentral:rRNA from 2 species
AAAUUGAAGAGUUUGAUCAUGGCUCAGAUUGAACGCUGGCGGCAGGCCUAACACAUGCAAGUCGAACGGUAACAGGAAACAGCUUGCUGUUUCGCUGACGAGUGGCGGACGGGUGAGUAAUGUCUGGGAAACUGCCUGAUGGAGGGGGAUAACUACUGGAAACGGUAGCUAAUACCGCAUAACGUCGCAAGACCAAAGAGG